CCAAUAGCGUAUAUUAAAGUUGUUGCAGUUAAAAAGCUCGUAGUUGAAUUUCGGGAUUGACACAUCGGUCGUGCCUUAAGGGGUAUGAACUGGUGUAGUCAGUUUCUCACCUUCUGGAGAACCGCGAUGUCCUUAAUUGGGUGCCGCGAGGAACCAGGACCUUUACUUUGAAAAAAUUAGAGUGUUUAAAGCAGGCAUUU
rnacentral:rRNA from 2 species